rnacentral:rRNA from 1 species
CCCCACGUCAGGCUGGAUUACCCGCUGAGUUUAAGAUUAAA